AACGAACGCUGGCGGCGUGCCUAAGACAUGCAAGUCGUGCGAGAAAGUCACCUUCGGGUGGCGAGUACAGCGGCGCACGGGUGAGUAACGCGUGGGUAACCUACCUCGAGAUCUGGGAUAACCCGGGGAAACCUGGGCUAAUACCGGAUGAGCCCACGAGGCCCUCGGACCUCGUGGGAAAAGGUGGCCUCUCCUUGGAAGCUACCGUCCCGAGAUGAGCCCGCGUCCCAUUAGCUUGUUGGUGAGGUAACGGCUCACCAAGGCUCCGAUGGGUAGCUGGUCUGAGAGGACGACCAGCCACACUGGAACUGAGACACGGUCCAGACUCCUACGGGAGGCAGCAGUCGGGAAUCUUGGGCAAUGGGCGCAAGCCUGACCCAGCGACGCCGCGUGAGGGAUGAAGGCCUUCGGGUCGUAAACCGCUGUCAGAGGGGAGUAAGUGAAGGGGGUUAUCCUCCGGAUCUGAACUAUCCUCAGAGGAAGGACGGGCUAAGUUCGUG
rnacentral:rRNA from 1 species